AUAUCACCGGUUCUCAUACAAAACCCGAAGUUAAGCAACGUCGACCCUGGUCAGUACCUAGGUGGGUGACCAGUUGGGAAUACCAGGUACCGUAAG